rnacentral:misc_RNA from 1 species
CACAAAUAUGAAGGCGGGCUGGAACCUCUCGGGGUUACAGCCUUGCUGAAUUAUUCACCCUUGUCUUUUGCGUACUUCUUGUUUCCUUGGUGGGUUCGCCCACCACUAGGACAAACAUAAACCUUUUGUAAUUGCAAUCAGCGUCAGUAACAAAUUAAUAAUUACAACUUUCAACAACGGAUCUCUUGGUUCUGGCAUCGAUGAAGAACGCAGCGAAAUGCGAUAAGUAGUGUGAAUUGCAGAAUUCAGUGAAUCAUCGAAUCUUUGAACGCACAUUGCGCCCUUUGGUAUUCCAAAGGGCAUGCCUGUUCGAGCGUCAUUUGUACCCUCAAGCUUUGCUUGGUGUUGGGCGUCUUGUCUCUAGCUUUGCUGGAGACUCGCCUUAAAGUAAUUGGCAGCCGGCCUACUGGUUUCGGAGCGCAGCACAAGUCGCACUCUCUAUCAGCAAAGGUCUAGCAUCCAUUAAGCCUUUUUUUCAACU